rnacentral:rRNA from 1 species
UGGGAUUAGAUACCCCACUAUGCUUAGUCGUAAACCUCGGUAGGCCUGUCACACCAACCUACCCGCCCGGACAUUACGAGCACUAGCUUAAAAUCCAAAGGACUUGGCGGUGCUUUAGACCCCCCUAGAGGAGCCUGUUCUGUAACUGAUAAUCCUCGUUCAACCUCACCUCUCCUUGUCAAUCCCGUCUAUAUACCGCCGUCGUAAGCUAACCCUGUGAAGGUCUAGUAGUUAGCACAAUUGGUUUAACCAAAAACGUCAGGUCGAGGUGUAGCGAAUGGAGGGGGAAGAAAUGGGCUACAUUCUCUGAAAUAGAGCAUACGAACGAUGAACUGAAAACUCAUCUGAAGGUGGAUUUAGCAGUAAGUGGAAAGUAGAGUGUUCCACUGAAGCCGGCUCUAAAGCGCGCACACACCGC